CCCACUAUUUUAAGAAGAAAAUAUUUCAUUUGAUUAUUAAUUGUUAUGUGCUUUAAAUUUAGAGGAUUUGGCGGUAUUCAAGUCUAGUUAGAGGAACCUGCUUCUUAAAACGAUAGUCCACGAAGUAUUUUAUUUUUUUUUGUUAAUCAGUUUGUAUACCUCCAUUAUUAGGUGAAAUUAAUAAGUUUUCGCUUAAAUAUAGAGCUUCUAUAGUAUAUUAGGUCAAGGUGCAGCCUAUGAAAAAAUUGAUUGUGGGUUACAUUUUUUUUAAUAUUCGGAGUAAAACUUGAAUUUUGUUUUAUGAAGUUGGAUUUAAUUGUAAUAUUUAUUUAAUAUGUAGAUCUGAUAGUAGCUCUUGAAUAUGUACACAUCGCCC
rnacentral:rRNA from 1 species